UCCCCCACUGUGUCCUUCAAGGAUAACAAGAUUUCACCCUACCCCUGAAGUACCUCUCACUCUCCGGCCUCGAGCCGAACAGUAUUUCCAGAAAGCCCAACAGUUGAGCUGCUGGAUUUCUCAAGAGACUUAUCCGGCCGGCUACAGACCCUUAGACCCAAUAAUAACGGUUACCACUCGAGCCGCCGGUGUUACCGCGGCGGCUGGCACCGGUCUUGCCCGGCCCUUGCUAUGCAAUGCUUUUUAUGCAUCACGACAGCCAGAUUUGUAACCUGGCACUCGAGGUCCCCUUAUCGCCGUUGCCGGCAUUGUAAAGUUUUCGCGCCUGCUGCACCCCGUAGGGCCUGGAUUCGUGUCUCAGAAUCCAUCUCCGGGCUCUUGCUCUCACAACCCGUACCCGUCGUAGGCUAGUAGGUACGCUACACCCACUACUACCUGAUAGGCCGCAGACCCAUCCUCUGGCGCCGGAGCUUUCGAUCUCGGGGCAUUCCAGCGACCGAGAUCUAUCGGGGAUUAUACCCAGUUUCCCGGGUUUAUACCCGUCCGGAAGGUAGGUUGUCCACGUGUUACUGAGCAGUACGCCAUGUAUUGCUACAUUCGACUCGCAUGGCUUAGUCGAACCUCGAUAGUCAGUAACCU
rnacentral:rRNA from 1 species